rnacentral:pre_miRNA from 1 species
GACUUCAACUGAAAAAGUCGUCAAUAACAAAGUUGUAUAAUCCAUCUAGAUCUACAAUUUUCAUUUUUGGUCAUUUCCUCAUCGAUAAAUUAAUAGUAACAUUGUUCAGAAAUUUUACAUAUCUCCCAUAUGGUUUCAUAAAUUAUAAGAGAGAUGUGUAAAUUUUGUGAACAAUGUUACUAUUACUUUAUCGGAUGAAGAAAUGACCAAAAUAAAAGUUAUAUAUUUUGAUGAGUUAUACAACUUUGUUGUUGAUGACUUUUCAGUUGAAAUC